AGAAAGCAACCCUCUGCUUUGCUUUAGAUGGCCUCCGAGGCCAGUUCUUUGGGCAGAAUCCAGAAACAGGAAGAAGUUGCAGAAGAGAAGAGGCAAAGAAACAAAGAAAGGACUUGUCUGAGAAAAGCAGCCAAGAGCAGCAUACAUGUCAGGGACAGUGAGGGUGCUGAGCGGCAGAUACUACCCUCGUGGGUAUCCUCCCUCAGUUGAGGCUCUUCCCCUCUCCCAGUUUUUCUUACCCCCAGUGGCACAGAUUGCCUUUGGAGAGAGCUGACCUGGGAGAAAGAAAGUCCACUUUUGAGUUUCUAAAGCCUAGGCCAGGGCACGAGAGAGAUAUGAAAGCAUAAGUGGUGAAUAUCCUCCCAUCUGGAGGGAAGAAAAGAGAGUAAGAGGGAAAACAGAGAAAAUGUGGAUGCCAGAGCACCCUGGACCCUGCAUUACCCCAAGAGACUUUGGGGGAUUCCAGCCCAUGGAUGACCUGAGAGAUGCAGGAGGAUCCCCAGAGUCCCAUGUGUCUGGCAUGACCCAGCAGCAGGAGAAAUGUCUGAGCUAGAAGUGGAUAGGCCUGGGUUGGCCUCACAGGGUUCCCUGUGCCAAGCAUGAAGUCAGAACAUAGAGUGUCCUCAGGCACCCAGAGGGCCCCAUGAUGGUGUGGGAGCUGUGGAUGCUUCCCACGAGCCCAGGCAUCUGUCACACAUGUGUUUCCUGCCAUUGCACAGAUCGUGCCAUAGGUGGUGGCAAGAAGACGCCUUAUAAUUGGGGCCAAGGAGCACAUAGCAGUCACAUAUACAGCCUGUAGACAAAAGUCAAGAUGGAGAGAGAGAUCUUCAGGAAAUGAGGCCAGUAUGGCUCAUGGAUGACACAAGGCCCAGUGGUGUCCAGUCCUGGCACUUGUUCAUAAUCACAGACAUUUCAUUUAUACAACCCUAUGAUCCAUUGGGUGUGGCCAAGCUGGAAACAAAGAAACUGAAAUGACCACACAUGGCCACAGGAUUUCUCUCCUCCGGUGGCCACAGCCCAAUGGAGGAGACAGACCUCCCGAGAAGGGUGGGCAUGGGGUGCCAUGAUAGACGUAGCAAGCAGGAACAGGGGUUGGGGUCACCAUGUGAAUGAGAGAGAAACAGGCACUGAAGCUGCAGGAGCCUGGGGGACAAUUGUGCAUGCCAGGCACCUAGAAAGCAGGAAGAGGGGAGAUAGCAGAUGAAAACACACACACUAAUCCAAUGCCCAUCUCCAUAAAAAGCAGUGGCUCAUGGGACAACCAAGAGAGCUCCUCUGACUUCCUGCCCAAGCAAGAGCAUAACUAGGUGAUGGGGGCAGAGGCUCUGAGGAGCCCAGGCAAGAGCUCAGCACAGCUUUGCUAAGGUUCGCCUCUGGAAGCAGCCACCUCUGGGAAUUUCCCUGGUAUCUGUUUGGGCAGAGACUGAAACUGAACUGAACCAUUAAUAGCCUGUGAUCAUCCUCCCAAACUCCCCCCAAACCUUAAUUCUUUUGCACUAAACCAAAGAUGGUUUUGUUUUAACAUCUGAUUCACCGGACUCAACUAAAAAAUGAAAGAGCUGAACCAAAGGAGCAGAAUAAUCCCAGCACCUGCAGCAAACUGUUCAUCCAUCCAGCUCCAUUCCCUGGGCAGGGCAGGUUCCCCUAAGGCAUUGUUCUAUUGGGAAGAAGGCCCAUGAGAGGCCAGAGCAGGGAGAGGCAUGCAGUGGCAUGAUCCAGAGGGAAAAGGAAGAGAAAGUAACCAUCCGAGUACUCCCCACUCUUGGAAGAGCCAAUAGACAAAAUCCAGAUGAGCUUAUGAGUAAUGGAUGUCCUAUGUGCCACAGGGUGUUACAGGCAGAUGCUGAGGGAGGGGUGCAGCCAACGUAAGGAGAAAUGCAAAUAAAGAUCAGGCUUGGGGGCAGGGGUCUGAUGAUGCCCCCAAAACGCCAGUCAGCAGGGACUCUGACAUUUAAAGAGGCACCAUAACCACUUGAGCCAAAUCUCUUUUCACUCAGUGUGCCCAAUGUGAUAUUUAAACAGAAAUGUCGCCCUCACUGCAUUUAUGCCCCUCCAACCCUUCAGAAUUGGGUCUGCUGUCCAAAUGGCUCAUGUGUGUCCACCUUCCAGAGCCAAAGUGAAAAUUUCUGAUAAAAACAGAAAAAGGUAAAUUUCGGCUUUAUGAACUCAGGAUUAAAUCAGGCCAGGCCUUUCUGUGAAAUGUGAACCCUGUAAUGCUGAGAAAUUGAAAAAGCCCUUGCUUUUUGAAGCUCUGGCCUAUCUUUAAUUGAACCUUUUGCAUGAAAUCAUGAACCAUGGCCGAUGCCAUGAAACAACUCAAGGAAGAAACCAGCAAAGCAACUGGCUUUGAACUGAGACCUGCGAACUGAGAACCGCCUACAGUCCGUAAAAGACCAGCCUGGGCCCUUGGGUUGCCCUCAUCCUGUUUUAGAAUCGUCUCUUUUCUUUGAAAACUGGGGAAAGGGAGGAAGUGUGGUUACUGAGGAUUAAGCUUGAGUCGACCUUGAGUUAGGGGUCAAGUUACCACAUCAUGGUUUGGGUCAGAACUGAUUAUUUUUGGCAAAUGUACACCAAAAAAUCACAUUUUUUAAGUGGAUAAAAGUGCACCAUAGGAAAAAAUUCAUUUUCGGAGACAUCAGCACAUUUCAGUGAGUACUGUGGCUAAAUUUGAAAGAAUGUGAACUUUUGAGAUUACUAAUAUACAUCCAAAUGUGUGUUAGGGAAUGUACAUUGAGCUCUGUUAUUCCUAAUCUUUUACACAGGCCCUCUCCACCAAAUUUCAUAGACACAUUAGAAAAAGGAAAGCCACUCACACUCCUGCUUGCAUAGAAGUCCCCUGCCUUUUGCCAAUGAGCUUUUCUGCUCCCAGAUCAACUUGAUUAAGUAAGAUAUAAUUUUCUGCUUCUCUCUCCUGGCAUAGGCACGGCUGUAUAAUGUCUUCGUUCUCCCCAGUGAGAUGCCUGUAACUGACCUAACUUAAAGAGAAAUAUGUUCUGCCUCCCAUCUUCAGAGGAAGAAACCCUCUGAGACCUACAUGUGAUUUGUCUUGUUGCCUGCAAAAGUUUGCUCUUUAUGGUGACAGCUAGGCUUGCUUGGGAGAUUUGAACAGAUACAGCUUCUUGGUGCAGCUGCCUCUGCUCUCCUAAUUUGAUCCUGAGCCUAACAAUUACAGUUAUCAAGGAGCCAGCUCUUCCAAAAGGUUUCCUGCAAAUCACGUCAUCAUCUGUGAUGUGUACAAUUUGGUCUCUUGGAUUAUGCAAUGAUUCUGGGUGUUGUUUUAAAGCCUGACUUUAAUAAAAAGCCCGAGAAAAGAACAAAUGCAAAUGGGUGUUGACGUGGACUGCCCAUCCUCUGGCACCAGCAGUAGAAUACAGACAGUACCUACAGCAACACAAUAGAUAAUGCAUCUGCAAUUACCGGGAUACUUAACAUGUGUUGUAUAACUCAUCGGAGAAAAUAUAGAUCUUUUGUGUGUGUUUCAGAUGUAGAAGGAAUGAAUGAAUCACAGGUCAUAAACUCAGGCGUGGGACAAGUAUCAGAUCUUUGUAUUUUCUUCCAAGCAGCUUAAUUUCAAUCGUGACUACUCCAUGCCAACAGGUAGGCAGGAAAUUCCACCUCAUUGAUUCUCUGGGUGCCCCUGUUCCCACCCAGAGGGUCUUUCUCUAGCACCAAGGUGCUGGGAGGGCUCCCUGUCCGCCUGUAAUUCCCCCAACUCCCCAGCAUGUACGAGCUAUGAGUCACUAGGCCACACUGGUUGCCAUGGAGACACUCAUCGUCCUAGUCUACUGGUCCCUCCAGGUUGAGGCUGCGGCUUCCACACCAGGCAUGGAGGCUUCAGGAUCUUGGUGAGGCUGGGAGGCACCUCACCCUUCCCCACUGGCAUCCUCACCAACCCCCUGAGCCUGGCCAGAGAGCAGGGUGCUGCCUCCCCUAGCUGUCAGAAUACUUUUUGGCUCCCAGUCCAGGGCAAUAAACUUUUCUUCAAAGAUUCUCUCGCUCUUCAUGUCCCUCCCAGAGUUGCUCCCUCUCCACCAAACCCAUCCACCUCUGUGAUUGUAAGCUUUGGCAAACCAAGGCCAGAAAGGGAGCUGUCCAGUGGGCAGCUCCAACUCUCCACCCUGCCUGGAGCCUCCCAGCUCGGAGCUUGUGGCCUACCAGAGACAUGGAAAGGGCGGAAAUAAAGAAAAGCAAUGCCCAAAUAGAUACAAAUGUGUCCCAUCCCUGCAAAUGUCACAAAGUCAUGAAUAAUUACCACGAGGGACACUUCCCCAGCUUUUUUGCUGCUCCAUCACCAGCAGCCCUCUAGUGAAUCCCAGCACUUCCUUCACUUUCUCUCCUAGUUCCAUUCCCAAGCCAAUAUUUCUUUGUACAUUCCAGCUGCCUUCUGAAUCCCUUACUUCCUCUUCAGUGUUCCCACGCAGGUGACAGCAGGAAGAAGCAUGGUCUGGUUGAUCCGAUGGUACAUGAAGCUAAUGGCCAUGAGCCUCCCAUGUGGUCCUGGGGCUGCACAGAAUGUGCUGGUGGCCACAGGAAGGCUCAGAGACCAUGAUGUUGAGGAAGGGGCUCAAGGGGGCUUACAGACAUGGCAGAGACACAUGAGAUGGAAUAAAAAUGCCACAUAUGUCAGUCAAAUUGAAUAGCUAAGGGAGAGCGAGGUGUUGUUUUGAAAGCGUAUAUCCACGUGGCUUAAAGGCGUGUCACUCGUUUUGUUUUGUUUUGUUUUGUUUUGUUUUGUUUUGUUUUGUUUUUAUGAGACAGAGUCUUGUUCUGUCACCUGGGCUGGAGUACAGUGGUG
rnacentral:lncRNA from 10 species